rnacentral:rRNA from 1 species
CAGCAGCCGCGGUAAUACGUAGGGUGCAAGCGUUAAUCGGAAUUACUGGGCGUAAAGCGUGCGCAGGCGGCUAUGCAAGACAGAUGUGAAAUCCCCGGGCUCAACCUGGGAACUGCAUUUGUGACUGCAUGGCUAGAGUACGGUAGAGGGGGAUGGAAUUCCGCGUGUAGCAGUGAAAUGCGUAGAUAUGCGGAGGAACACCGAUGGCGAAGGCAAUCCCCUGGACCUGUACUGACGCUCAUGCACGAAAGCGUGGGGAGCAAACAGGAUUAGAUACCCGCGUAGUCCCUGUCUCUUAUAA